CCUACGGGAGGCAGCAGUGAGGAAUAUUGGUCAAUGGGCGCUAGCCUGAACCAGCCAAGUAGCGUGAAGGAUGACUGCCCUAUGGGUUGUAAACUUCUUUUAUAUGGGAAUAAAGUGCAGUAUGUAUACUGCUUUGCAUGUACUUUAUGAAUAAGGAUCGGCUAACUCCGUGCCAGCAGCCGCGGUAAUACGGAGGAUCCGAGCGUUAUCCGGAUUUAUUGGGUUUAAAGGGAGCGUAGGCGGGUUGUUAAGUCAGUUGUGAAAGUUUGCGGCUCAACCGUAAAAUUGCAGUUGAUACUGGCAGCCUUGAGUACUGUAGAGGUAGGCGGAAUUCGUGGUGUAGCGGUGAAAUGCUUAGAUAUCACGAAGAACUCCGAUUGCGAAGACAGCCUGCUGGACUGUAACUGACGCUGAUGCUCGAAAGUGUGGGUAUCAAACAGGAUUAGAUACCCGUGUAGUC
rnacentral:rRNA from 1 species